UACGUAGGCAGCAAGCGCUGUUCGGAGUUACUGGGCGUAAAGAGUGCGUAGGCGGUGCUCUAAGUUUGGUGUGAAAUCUCCCGGCUUAACUGGGAGGGUGCGCCGAAAACUGGAGUGCUUGAGUAUGGGAGAGGCAAGCGGAAUUCCUGGUGUAGCGGUGAAAUGCGCAGAUAUCAGGAGGAACACCGGUGGCGAAGGCGGGUCUCUGGGCCAAUACUGACGCUGAGGGACGAAAGCUAGGGGAGCGAAUGGG
rnacentral:rRNA from 1 species